GCCUUGAUAGCUCAGUUGGAAGAGCGUCAGACUGAAGAUCUGAAGGUCCAUAGUUCGAUUCUGUGUCAAGGCA